rnacentral:misc_RNA from 1 species
AAGUCGUAACAAGGUUUCCGUAGGUGAACCUGCGGAAGGAUCAUUAAUUACGAAAGCUAUAGCCCCUUCGGGGGUUAUUGCAUCUACCCUUUGUCUACUGUACCUCUUGUUGUUUCCUCGGCAGGCUUGCCUGCCGCUAGGAACCCAAUAAACCCUUGUAUCUAAAGUAUUAAAAUCUCUGAUAACUAUUAAAUUAUUACAACUUUCAACAAUGGAUCUCUUGGUUCUG